UACGUAGGGUGCAAGCGUUGUCCGGAAUUAUUGGGGCGUAAAGAGCUCGUAGGCGGUUCGUCGCGUCGGCUGUGAAAUCCCGAGGCUCAACCUCGGGUCUGCAGUCGAUACGGGCGGACUGGAGUUCGGCAGGGGAGACUGGAAUUCCUGGUGUAGCGGUGAAAUGCGCAGAUAUCAGGAGGAACACCGGUGGCGAAGGCGGGUCUCUGGGCCGAUACUGACGCUGAGGUGCGAAAGCGUGGGGGAGCAAACAGG
rnacentral:rRNA from 1 species